AUUGAACGCUGGCGGCAGGCCUAACACAUGCAAGUCGAGCGGUAACAGGGGAAGCUUGCUUCCCGCUGACGAGCGGCGGACGGGUGAGUAAUGUAUGGGGAUCUGCCCGAUAGAGGGGGAUAACCACUGGAAACGGUGGCUAAUACCGCAUAAUCUCUUAGGAGCAAAGCAGGGGAACUUCGGUCCUUGCGCUAUCGGAUGAACCCAUAUGGGAUUAGCUAGUAGGUGGGGUAAUGGCUCACCUAGGCGACGAUCCCUAGCUGGUCUGAGAGGAUGAUCAGCCACACUGGGACUGA
rnacentral:rRNA from 1 species